rnacentral:misc_RNA from 1 species
AUGAAAAACAAAUCGGUCGAUGUGCUGGCGAAUCGACGCAAGUGCACUCGAUCGAAAUCCAACCCACACCUGUGCACCUUUGAGACCCGACCCUCAUUGGGAACGGUCCCAUUUUACACGCUUGUCCACGAAUGUGUAUUUUGCUUUUUGCAAUCUUGUA